rnacentral:rRNA from 1 species
UACAGAGGUCGCAAGCGUUAAUCGGAUUUACUGGGCGUAAAGCGUGUGUAGGUGGUUGUUCAAGUCGGUUGUGAAAUCCCCGGGCUCAACCUGGGAACUGCUUCCGAGACUGAGCGACUAGAGAUCGGUAGAGGGCGGUGGAAUUUCCGGUGUAGCGGUGAAAUGCGUAGAUAUCGGAAGGAACACCAAUGGCGAAGGCAGCCGCCUGGGCCUGAUCUGACACUGAGACACGAAAGCGUGGGGAUCAAACAGGAGU